rnacentral:rRNA from 1 species
GACGAAGGAUGCAAGCGUUAUCCGGAUUCAUUGGGUUUAAAGGGCGCGUAGGUGGCCUUGUAAGUCAGUGGUGAAAUCCUGUCGCUUAACGAUAGAAUUGCCAUUGAUACUGCAGGGCUUGAGUACAGUUGCCGUUGGCGGAAUAUGACAUGUAGUGGUGAAAUACUUAGAUAUGUCAUAGAACACCGAUUGCGAAGGCAGCUGACGAAACUGUAACUGACACUGAGGCUCGAAAGUGUGGGGAUCAAACAGG